rnacentral:rRNA from 1 species
AGUGAACGCUGGCGGUAGGCCUAACACAUGCAAGUCGAACGGCAGCACAGUAAGAGCUUGCUCUUACGGGUGGCGAGUGGCGGACGGGUGAGGAAUACAUCGGAAUCUACUUUUUCGUGGGGGAUAACGUAGGGAAACUUACGCUAAUACCGCAUACGACCUACGGGUGAAAGCAGGGGAUCUUCGGACCUUGCGCGAUUGAAUGAGCCGAUGUCGGAUUAGCUAGUUGGCGGGGUAAAGGCCCACCAAGGCGACGAUCCGUAGCUGGUCUGAGAGGAUGAUCAGCCACACUGGAACUGAGACACGGUCCAGACUCCUACGGGAGGCAGCAGUGGGGAAUAUUGGACAAUGGGCGCAAGCCUGAUCCAGCCAUACCGCGUGGGUGAAGAAGGCCUUCGGGUUGUAAAGCCCUUUUGUUGGGAAAGAAAAGCAGCAGGGUAACACCCAGCUGUUCUGACGGUACCCAAAGAAUAAGCACCGGCUCACUUCGUG